AAAUCGCGACGGGGCGGACCCCAAGUGCCAUUCUUAACGGGAUGGCUUUUCUUAAGUGUAAAAAGCUUUUGGAAUAAGAGCUGGGCAAGACCGGUGCCAGCCGNCGCGGUAACACCGGNCAGCUCUAGUGGUGGCCANCUNUUAUUGGGCCUAAAGCGUUCGUACCCGGUUUAUUAAGUCUCUGGUGAAAUCCCGUAGCUUANCUAUGGGAAUNGCUGGAGAUACUAGUAGACUUNAGGUCGGGAGAGGUUAGAGGUACUCCCAGGGUANGG
rnacentral:rRNA from 1 species